rnacentral:lncRNA from 1 species
CCUAACGCCCCUGUAUAUCAUCACCAUUCCGCAUGUCAGAUUUCAUCUUUCGUCAUCCUGUUAGCCUGACUCUGUCAUUCCAUAUAUACUUUAGGACCUACGAUCCAAGAAAUUGGUGCUCGUCGGGGUGGUCCAAGUCGCGCGCGGAUCAAAGAUGGGAGAUCACCACCACCAGGGUCGUUAUCUACGUACAGCACUCGAAGAGAAGAACAAGCCGAGCAGGGAUGGAGGGACUCGGCUUCGAGAGGUUUGCUAGGGGCCACAGU